UACGUAGGGAGCAAGCGUUGUCCGGAAUCAUUGGGCGUAAAGCGCGCGUAGGUGGCUUCGUAAGUCCGUUGUGAAAGUCAAAGGCUCAACCUUUGAAAGCCGAUGGAUACUGUGAAGCUAGAGUACGGAAGAGGCGAGUGGAAUUCCUGGUGUAGCGGUGGAAUGCGCAGAUAUCAGGAGGAACACCGGUGGCGAAGGCGGGACUCUGGGCCGAUACUGACGCUGAGGAGCGAAAGCGUGGGGAGCAAACAGG
rnacentral:rRNA from 1 species